rnacentral:lncRNA from 1 species
CAUCCCAGUCCCUCCAGUUUCCCAUUCCCAGUUUCCCCAGUACCUGCACGGGGUACGUGCGGUCGGGGUCAAAGGCGCUCAGGUCCCAUUCCCAUCCCAGUUUCCCAUCCCAGUCUAUCCCAGUCCAUCCCAAUCCAUCCCAGUCCAUCCCAGUCCAUCCCAGUUUCCCAUCCCAGUCCAUCCCAGUUUCCCCAGUUCAUACCUGCAGCGGGUAUGUGCGGUCGGGGUCGAAGGCGCUCAGGUCCCAUUCCCAUCCCAGUCCAUCCCAGUCCAUCCCAGUUUACCCAGUCCAUCCCAGUUUCCCAUCCCAGU